UGGGGGAUAUUGCACAAUGGGCGAAAGCCUGAUGCAGCGACGCCGCGUGGGGGAUGAAGGCCUUCGGGUUGUAAACUUUUUUUGCUCUGAACAAGGCAUGCCUUUGGGGUGUGUUGAGUGUAGGGGUUGAUUAGCGCCGGCUAACUACGUGCCAGCAGCCGCGGUAAUACGUAGGGCGCGAGCGUUGUCCGGAAUUAUUGGGCGUAAAGGGCUUGUAGGUGGCUGGUUGCGUCUGUCGUGAAAGCUCAUGGCUUAACUGUGGGUUUGCGGUGGGUACGGGCUGGCUUGAGUGCAGUAGGGGAGGCUGGAAUUCCUGGUGUAGCGGUGGAAUGCGCAGAUAUCAGGAGGAAUACCGGUGGCGAAGGCGGGUCUCUGGGCUGUUACUGACGCUGAGGGGCGAAAGCGUGGGGAGCGAACAGG
rnacentral:rRNA from 1 species